rnacentral:rRNA from 1 species
CACACAAGCGGUGGAGCAUGUUGUUUAAUUCGAGGCUACGCGAAGAACCUUUACCUGGGUUUGAAGCGGUAGGUAUAAGCAUGUCGAAAGAUGUGUGAUUGCCCUUCGGGGUGUAACCUAUCACAGGUGCUGCAUGGGCUGUCGUCAGCUCGUGUCGUGAGAUGUCGGGUUAAGUCCCGCAACGAGCGCAACCCUUAUUGCUAGUUACCAUCAUUAAUUGGGGACUCUAGCGAGACUGCCAGUGAUAAACUGGAGGAAGUGGGGAUGACGUCAAAUCAUCAUGCCCCUUAUGACCUGGGCUACAAACGUGAUACAAUGGCUGAAACAAAGGGCAGCGAAGGAGCGAUCUGGAGCGAAACCCAAAAAAGCAGUCUCAGUUCGGAUUGAAGUCUGCAACUCGACUUCAUGAAGUCGGAAUCGCUAGUAAUCGCGGAUCAGCAUGCCGCGGUGAAUACGUUCCCGGGCCUU